AUGUGAGAUUUAUUUCUGAGCAUAUAACAAAUAAUUGACCUAUGUGUCAUGUCAAAUCUUGCAUGUACUGAUACAUGUGGUAACUGGUGUUUAUUUAUGGGAAGUGUCCAUUUAAUAGAGAUGAAACUUAAGGAAAUAGCAAGAAAUUACAGAAGAAAUAUUUCUACAAACGAUGUAGAGCAUAAAAAUGUGGACAACAUAGAAGAAAAUGGAUAGUAAUAUUGUAAAAAUCUUUAACAAUAACAGACAAUUGAAAAA